CAGUAGCCGCGGUAACACGAAGGGGGCUAGCAUUGUUCGGAUUUACCGGGCGUAAAGGGCGCGUAGGCGGACUGAUAAGUCAGGGGUGAAAUCCCAAGGCUCAACCUUGGAACUGCCUUUGAUACUGUUUGUCUUGAGUUCGAGAGAGGUAAGUGGAACUGCGAGUGUAGAGGUGAAAUUCGUAGAUAUUCGCAAGAACACCAGUGGCGAAGGCGGCUUACUGGCUCAAAACUGACGCUGAGGCGCGAAAGCGUGGGGAGCAAACAGGAUUAGAUACCCGCGUAGUCCCUGUCUCUUAUAC
rnacentral:rRNA from 1 species